rnacentral:rRNA from 1 species
AUACGUAGGGAGCGAGCGUUGUCCGGAAUUACUGGGUGUAAAGGGCGUGUAGGCGGGACGACAAGUCAGAUGUGAAAUACCGGGGCUCAACUCCGGGGCUGCAUUUUAAACUGCCGUUCUUGAGUGAUGGAGAGGGAAGCGGAAUUCCUAGUGUAGCGGUGAAAUGCGUAGAUAUUAGGAGUAACACCAGUGGCGAAGGCGGCUUUCUGGACAUUUACUGACGCUGAGGCGCGAAAGCGUGGAGAGCAAUCAGGAUUAGAUGCCCUGGUAGUCCACGCUGUAAACGAUGAUUACUAGGUGUGGGUGGUAUCGACUCCUUCCGUGCCGGAGUUAACACAAUAAGGAAUCCCCCUGGGGAGUACGGCCGCAAGGUUGAAACUCAAAUGAAUUGACGGGG